rnacentral:rRNA from 1 species
AGAUUUAGUCCCGGCUAAUCUCGUGCCAGCAGCCGCGGUAAUACGGGAGGGGCAAGCGUUAUCCAAAAUGACUGGGCGUAAAGAGUCCGUAGACGGUAUAAUAAGUUAUUUGUUAAAGACUAAAAUUAACUUUAGAAAAGCAUUUAAAACUGUUUUACUUCAGGAGUUUUAUACAGAAGAGUUGAAUUUCAUGUUGAGGAAUAAGCUCUAAAGAAAUAUGAAGGAAUACCAUUAUUAGCGAAAGCGACUCUUUAGUAAAGACUGACGUUGAGGGACGAAAGUAUAGGGAGCAAACAGGAUUAGAUACCCUGGUAGUCUAUACCUUAAAUUCUGAGUGCUGUAAUUCUAAAAUUUCGAUUUUUGGAUUUUUUAAGUUAACACCAUAAGCAUUCCGCCUGAGGAGUACGAUCGCAAGGUUGGAACUCAAAGGAAUUGACGGGGACCUACAACAAGUGGUGGAGCAUGUGGUUUAAUGCGAUAAUCCGCGCAAAACCUUACCAAUCCUUGAUAUAAAGAAAAAAAUUCAAAUUAGUAUUUUUGUAAUAUUAUAUUAAAUUGUAUUAGAUCAAAUUUAAAAUUUCUUUACAGGUGCUGCACGACUGUCGUCAGCUCGUGUCGUAAGAUGUGUGGUUAAUUCCUGUAACGAGCGAAACUCUUAUUUUUAGUGAACAAAAUUAAUACUGUAAGAAUUUGAAACAAAAUUUUAAAAACACAGUCAAUGAUAAGUUGAAGGAAGGUAAGAAUCAAGUCAAGUCCCUGUGGCCCUUAUGGAUUGGGCUACACACGUGCUACAAUGAAAAUUACAAUAAGUUUACUUAACAUCCAAUUGAUCAAAGUAAGUCUUUAACAAUUUUUUUAGUUCAGAUUGUAAGCUGCAACUCGCUUACAUGAAGAUGGAAUCACUAGUAAUCGCGAAUCAGAAUGUCGCGGUGAAUAUGUGCCUUGGUCUUGUACACACCGCCCGUCACAUGCAGAAAAUUAGCUUUGCUUGAAGAUUAAAUUUUUAGUAUUAGAAAUUUCUCACACUAUGAUCUGUUCAAAAUUCUAAAAAUUUUUUCUAUUGAAGAGUCAAUAAUUUGGAUGAAGUCGUAACAAGGUAGCU